UACGUAGGGUGCAAGCGUUAAUCGGAAUUACUGGGCGUAAAGCGUGCGCAGGCGGUUUGUUAAGACAGUCGUGAAAUCCCCGGGCUUAACCUGGGAACUGCGAUUGUGACUGGCAAGCUAGAGUGUGGCAGAGGGGGGUGGAAUUCCACGUGUAGCAGUGAAAUGCGUAGAGAUGUGGAGGAACACCGAUGGCGAAGGCAGCCCCCUGGGCUAACACUGACGCUCAUGCACGAAAGCGUGGGGAGCAAACAGG
rnacentral:rRNA from 1 species